GAGUUUGAUCCUGGCUCAGGAUGAACGCUGGCGGUAUGCUUAACACAUGCAAGUCGAACGGAAUCUUCGGAUUUAGUGGCGGACGGGUGAGUAACGCGUGAGAAUCUGGCUUCAGGUCUGGGACAACCACUGGAAACGGUGGCUAAUACCGGAUGUGCCGAGAGGUGAAAGGCUUGCUGCCUGAAGAUGAGCUCGCGUCUGAUUAGCUAGUAGGUGUGGUAAGAGCGCACCUAGGCGACGAUCAGUAGCUGGUCUGAGAGGAUGAUCAGCCACACUGGGACUGAGACACGGCCCAGACUCCUACGGGAGGCAGCAGUGGGGAAUUUUCCGCAAUGGGCGAAAGCCUGACGGAGCAAUACCGCGUGAGGGAGGAAGGCUCUUGGGUUGUAAACCUCUUUUCUCAGGGAAGAAAAAAAUGACGGUACCUGAGGAAUAAGCAUCGGCUAACUCCGUGCCAGCAGCCGCGGUAAUACGGAGGAUGCAAGCGUUAUCCGGAAUGAUUGGGCGUAAAGCGUCCGCAGGUGGCUGUGUAAGUCUGCUGUUAAAGAGUCUAGCUCAACUAGAUAAAGGCAGUGGAAACUACACGGCUAGAGUGCGUUCGGGGCAGAGGGAAUUCCUGGUGUAGCGGUGAAAUGCGUAGAGAUCAGGAAGAACACCGGUGGCGAAGGCGCUCUGCUAGGCCGCAACUGACACUGAGGGACGAAAGCUAGGGGAGCGAAUGGGAUUAGAUACCCCAGUAGUCCUAGCCGUAAACGAUGGAUACUAGGCGUGGCUUGUAUCGACCCGAGCCGUGCCGUAGCUAACGCGUUAAGUAUCCCGCCUGGGGAGUACGCACGCAAGUGUGAAACUCAAAGGAAUUGACGGGGGCCCGCACAAGCGGUGGAGUAUGUGGUUUAAUUCGAUGCAACGCGAAGAACCUUACCAAGGCUUGACAUGUCGCGAAUCUUCUUGAAAGGGGAGAGUGCCUUCGGGAGCGCGAACACAGGUGGUGCAUGGCUGUCGUCAGCUCGUGUCGUGAGAUGUUGGGUUAAGUCCCGCAACGAGCGCAACCCUCGUUUUUAGUUGCCAGCACUUAGGGUGGGCACUCUAGAGAGACUGCCGGUGACAAACCGGAGGAAGGUGGGGAUGACGUCAAGUCAGCAUGCCCCUUACGCCUUGGGCUACACACGUACUACAAUGCUCCGGACAGAGGGCAGCAAGCUAGCGAUAGCAAGCUAAUCCCAUAAACCGGAGCUCAGUUCAGAUCGCAGGCUGCAACUCGCCUGCGUGAAGGAGGAAUCGCUAGUAAUUGCAGGUCAGCAUACUGCAGUGAAUUCGUUCCCGGGCCUUGUACACACCGCCCGUCACACCAUGGAAGCUGGUAGUGCCCGAAGUCAUUACUCCAACCUUUCGGGGGGGAGGAUGCCUAAGGCAGGACUGGUGACUGGGGUGAAGUCGUAACAAGGUAGCCGUA
rnacentral:rRNA from 1 species